AAGACAAAUUAGUAAUGGUAGAACCCAGCUUAGGAGCCUCAUGUGAUAACAUCCUGAGUAUUUCUGCUCAACGUUAGAAGAUUUCUCACACUGAAAAGAACCCUUAUCUUUAUGUAUACAGUAUCAUUAAGACACUAUCUUUAAAGCUUUUUUCCAACUUAAACUGCAAUCGUAUGCAGAAUUAUUCAUGAACAAGUGCUAUUGAACUCAGUGUGUUGUAUUUCCCUGUGAAGUAUGUAAUAAUAAUACACUUUAUUUAUUUUCCGCUCUAUCUCCCCGAGGAGACUCAGAGCGGAUUACAACAUACACAGGCAAACAUUCAAUGCCUUAAUACAGUGGAAUAACAAUGACAUACAAAUACACAGAACAAAGGUAAAGGCUUCCCCUUUCAUCUCCGGCUUUCUGGAAGCGAUGCUCAACUCUGGCCAUGGGGAGGUGCUCUUGUUCCAUUUCCAAGCCGAGAAGAUUGUUGUCUGUAAACACCUCCUGGUUGUGUUUCCAGCAUGGCUGCAUGGGCGCCUUUAUUCUCUUUUCGCCAAAGUGGUAUCUAUUGAUCUACUCACAUUUGUAUGUUUUCAAACUGCUAGGUUGGCAGGAGCUAAGGCUGACAGUGGGAGCUCAUCCUGACCCGUGGUUUCGAAUUGCCAACCUUUAGGGUCUCCUAAUUCUCCAAUGGAAGAACAUCUACCUGGGUUUGGAGUGCAUUGAUAAUGCCAAAAUUGGUCAAGAGGGCAUCUAAUGCAGUGUUCACUUGUAAUAUAGUUGCAAAAGUA